rnacentral:rRNA from 1 species
UACAGAGGUCCCAAGCGUUGUUCGGAUUCACUGGGCGUAAAGGGUGCGUAGGUGGCCGGGUAAGUCCGGUGUGAAAUCCCGCAGCUUAACUGCGGAAUGGCAUUGGAUACUAUUCGACUAGAGGGUUGGAGGGGGGACUGGAAUUCUCGGUGUAGCAGUGAAAUGCGUAGAUAUCGAGAGGAACACCAGUGGCGAAGGCGAGUCCCUGGACAACUCCUGACGCUGAGGCACGAAAGCUAGGGGAGCAAACAGG